rfam:Puccinia sorghi strain RO10H11247 Scaffold_473, whole genome shotgun sequence.
GCCCGGUUAGCUCAGUCGGUAGAGCAUUCGGCUUUUACGUACCUCGCUGGUCCUCGGAGCCCCCUGCAUGCAGGAUUGGGGUCUCCAGUGAAGUGACGGACACCGAAAUGUCGGGGGUUCGAGCCCCCCAUUGGGCG